rnacentral:rRNA from 1 species
GAUGAACGCUAGCGGCAGGCCUAAUACAUGCAAGUCGGACGGGAUUCAGGAGCUUGCUUCUGAUGAGAGUGGCGCACGGGUGCGUAACACGUAUGUAACCUACCUUUAUCAGGGGGAUAGCCUCUCGAAAGAGAGAUUAAGCCCGCAUAAAAUCACAGCACAGCAUUGUGUAAUGAUCAAAUAUUUAUAGGAUAAAGAUGGGCAUGCGGAACAUUAGCUAGAUGGCGGGGUAACGGCCCACCAUGGCGACGAUGUUUAGGGGAUCUGAGAGGAUGGCCCCCCACACUGGUACUGAGACACGGACCAGACUCCUACGGGCGGCAGCAGUAAGGAAUAUUGGUCAAUGGGCGGAAGCCUGAACCAGCCAUGCCGCGUGCAGGAAGACGGCCCUACGGGUUGUAAACUGCUUUUAUACGGGAAUAAACCCAGAUACGUGUAUCUGGCUGAAUGUACUGUAAGAAUAAGGAUCGGCUAACUCCGUG